rnacentral:sRNA from 1 species
GUGAGGGGGAAGAAGGAGAGGAGAGAGAAGAAUGCAUUUUUCCCCACAUUCUAGUAUUGUGCAACUAUACUAGGUGUGGUUGAUAUCCACAUGUUGAAUAGGAAAUAGUGUUUAGUUUCCCUGACAUAACUUGGUAGUUUAUUUCCAAUUUUUAAUAAGACAUUUCUAGAACAAUCAAGAGGACCAAAUUAGAAUAUAUGAAAGUGACAUUGUCAAGGUAAACACAGCCCUUAAAAUCAUCCACCACUUGGAAUUUAUUAGCCUCAUUCUUAUUCCCUCCCCCUACCAUAGGCCAGACAGCCAUAAUGGCAGUAGAUGGAGAACGGGCUGUAUGUGUCUUCCUUGUCAUAGCUUAACCUUGUGGACAAUAUGAACCAAGUUAGACAAUUUAAGAAGAAUGGAGGCACCUUGGUGUGCUCUGUUUCUCUCUGCGUUCCUAGGCCUGGUAGACAGGCUCUAUUUGUUUGAGAACCAAUGUCUCUUCAGAGUCUUACAAGAUAAAUGAACAAAAUGUUUGAGUAGAUAAAUGCAGAGCAAGCCAAGAUGACGAAUACUGAACAUAAGAGCCAAGCAAAUGUUAGAAUCUUAAUUUACAGGAUCUACAUUAUACCAUCACUACUUAGUAACCGUCCCUGGUGGGUGCUACGUACCCGUUGCUAUUAAAACAUUUACACAACCAAUCUAGAAAACUGACUCUCAGGCCCUCGUGAAGAUCCCUAAUCCACAGAGGGCCCAGGUUUCUUCCUUCCAGUGUCAGGACCUGAUGCUCAAGUCUGAGGAUCAGCUGGAUGACAGAAGGGUGUUUCAGAACUCCUGGGAACCAGAACAGAGAUCUUAAGUGACAGAAGAUUUCAGAAAGAACAGCUCUCCUCCGCUGCAUUGGGUGAUGCCAUUUUUCCCAGGUGAGCACACACUAAGUAGAGUGGAGCUUAGGUUGACCUUUCCUUCUGUGGCAUACUCAGUGUAGUGUACAUCAGGACUGUCAUGAGCCUGUUGUUUUGAGAGGUCUCUGCUAGCCACCAGCACUCAAAUUGACCAAGUGUUCACCAGUGGAUAAACAGAUAAAGAUGCCCCCCUUUCAAUCCUCACUCCUGUGAUUUGUGACAAUAUAGAGGAACCCCAGGGGCACACAUUAAAUGAAAUAAUGUUUGAGGUGCCCAAAGAUAAGUGUUGUACGAUCUCAUCCAUAGACAUUGUAUAGAUGUAUAGAGGUCUAUACAUUGUAUUAACAGAGACUAAGGUGGGGAAGGAGAGGGAGCUAGCAAAGAAGUUGAUCUUUGGGUACAAACUUACAGUUAGGAUAAGCAAGUUUUGGCAUAUGACUGCACAGUAGAGUGACUACAUCAAUGAUAACAGUUAAUAUUUCAAAAAACCUAGAAGAGAUGAUCCUCCUUAUUGGUAUUAUAAUAAUUGAAGAAAGGAUUUUAAUAUUCUACUGCCAAGACAGGAUAAAUGUUUUGAAGCCAUGAGUAUAAUUCCCAUGACUCGAUCACUGGAUAAUGUUUGUAUAAUGUGUAACUAUUGUGUUAGUUUUCUGUCAGCCUAACACAGACUAGAGUCAUCUGGAAGAAGGCACCUCAGCCAAGAAAAUGACCUCUUCAGAUUGGCUUGUGGGCAAGUCUGUGGGGGGGCAUUUUCUUAGUAAAGGAUUGAUGUUCGAGGGCGCAGUCCACUGCGGGUGGUGCCAACCCUGACAGGAGGUUCUGAGUUGUAAAAACAAACGCUGAGGGAGCCAUGGGGAGCAGGCCAGGAAGCAGUGUUUCUCUUGCUUCCAGGUGACUGCCCUGACUUUCCGUCCUAAUAGACUAAGCUGGAGUUUUGUAAGGCCUUCCCAAGCUGCUUUUGGCCACGAUGUUUAUCACAGCAACAGAAAGUAAAUUAGAACAUGCAUAUUGAAGUUCAUGUUGUACCCCCACAGAUGUAUAUAAUCAUUUUAUAUACAUACAUAUAUACAUACAUAUGUCCGUAAGUGUGUGUGUGUGUGUGUGUGUGUGUCCGUGUGUCCGUGUGCACGUAUGCACGUGUGCAUAUCUACAGCUGCCGAAAAUCUGCUGUUGAGAGAAAGGAAGUCACCAGUGAGAGGUGGCUAUAUGCGAAACUCCUCUUUUCUUUGCUGCUACAUGGGCACUCUCCAGGGAGGAAGCUUUGAGCACAAGGAAGGGGGAGGCUUUUAACUUCAGCAUUUCUGUUCCUAGUCCUAAGCUAGGGGUGGUUUGCUGAGACCGAAAACUCCAUCAGAGGAAGACAUGUCCGCUAACUGCGGCUAAGUAUGAAUUCCUACCGGGAUUAGAAUUCGCACACCCUGACUUCCUAACUGAGACUCUCUUGGAGAACUGGGCCAAACUGGAACUUUAGAAACCUUGGUAGAAAACAGGAGUCUUGGCUUCUAGAAGACAGGAGGGACCAGAAGGGUCUGAAAGGCCCCUGCAUCAAAACCCUAAACUUCUGGUUGUCUUGGUUGAUGCGAUCCUUGAACAGGACUUCCUCAGAAGUGCCCCAGCAAAGCCAGCCUGAUCCAGCACCUCCAGGUGUGAGCAGAGCAGCCUCAGGAAUUCCCAGGUCCAGAUACUUCUAAGAAGAGGCACAGAGAGUUGUUAGAGAAUCCCUUGGUAUGGUAUUUUGCCCAGCGUCAACUGUCAACUUGACAUAGUCAAGAGCCAAUUGCUAAGAGAGUCUCAAAUGAGUGUCCUUUUCAGGUCAGUCUGUGGGUAUGGAUGUAAGAGACUGCCUUGAUUACUAGGUGAUGUUGGGUGUGCCCACUGCAGGAGGCACUAUUACCUGGGCUGUAUAAGAAAGCUAGCUAAGCGUAAGCCUGUGAGUGAGUCAGCAUCUAACAUUCACCUUUGCUUUCUGCUCCUUUCCUGCCCUUGACUUCCCUCGAUGAUGGACAGCAAUCUGGAAGCUGAAAUAAGCCCUUUCCUUCUUAAAGGGGGUUUUGGUCACGAUAUUUGUGGCAGCAACUGAAUCAAACUGGAAUAUUUGGAAUCUACGCCUUUUGAUGGGACUAUAAACAUCUUUUCACAGCUUCUGAACUACAUCCCAUAAUAUACAUGACCGCAUCCAUCACAGACAGCCAAGAGGCUGCUUCUGGGAUUUUUUUCCAUCCAGUAAUAUCUCUCUGGGGCCGAGAUGUGGAGAAGUUGCCCGCCCCUCUCUUCCCUUCCUCCAACAACAGAGUCCCAUUGAGCUUUGUCCUUACCCACCCCACCCAGAAGAGAAACCAAGUUCCCCACCUAAGGUAGUAUUUUAUGUUUUGCUCUUUACUCUGUGACUUGCUAUUGCUAUCUUCCCAGGAGGUCUAAGAGCUCGGUGGUGGUAGAUCAUGUCUCAUGCACUUCCUGGUCUGUAGACCCGGGAGGGGAAUGCUGCAUUCAACAUGCCAUGCAAAUGCAUUUAUUUGCGGAGCCGCUCAAGUCCCCCACCAAAGCCUUCAAGCACGCUUUUGGCUCACUACACUUUUGUUUUAAAUCCACCAAUUUCCAACUGGCCUGGAAGCCGGUGAGCCAGUCAGCGAGUAAAAUUCGUCUCUGCUUUCUGCUUCAAGUUCCCGCUCUGGCUUCCCUCAGUGAUGGAUUCUGUGGUGACAGUUUUAAUUUUAAACACACUUUCCUGGGAGAGAAAUCUGGGCGAAUAAAAGUUCAUGCCACGAAGUUAUAUCCCACAGAUUGGUGAGGGCGGUGAAGAGGUAGAAGGUGCUUCCAAGGUGGUGCCUUUAUAUUUCUAAUUUCAAAAUGAAAACCAAUCGCGAAGAAAAGCCCUCUGCUUUCCCAAGUGUAUCCAUUUCUCCUUAAAAAGGAGAGGAAAAUUCUAGAAGGUUGGAGAACCUGCAGAAACCCCUCUUAGUACAAAAGAGCAGAUGCAACCAAAUUUGAAUGGAGUGAACGUGAGGGGAAAAUACAGCAGAGACAUUUACAUCGACUGUCUGGGAUGCUUCAGAACAUCUUUUCCCGUGCAUCUUGGGAAGUGUUAAAUCAUUUUGGAGUUUGAGGUCUGGAAAGGGAUACUGUGUGGUGGGGUUGGGCAUGUGUGCACAAGGAUGCUUAUGACUAGUAAGAGAAUUCCUUUCCCAUCCUCACAGGACUGCGGAAUCCAGACACACCAAAGUGACACAAAUACAAUACCCAGACUUCACUGUGUGAUGUGUAGGAGAAACUUAAUAAAUGUAGCUCUGACCUCUCA